GUGCAAUUUUCUCAGAACAUACAUGCAUUUAUGACUUUAUGAUGGCAAUCAAGCACUUUGAACAUGUGUACAUGUCUCCCAUUUGUGGUUUCAGCGUAUAUUGCUUGCAUGUAAAUACAUUCACUGUACAUGUCAACUUUUAUUAGUUUUGGGCUUAGAGUUGGGUUGGGGUACAGAAAGGAGGAGGGAGGGGGGUAGAGUGCAUUGUCGUGUAUAUUUCUCAUGUAGCUUUUCUAUUUGGUAAU